rnacentral:lncRNA from 1 species
GGGCUAUCCUGUGUUUCCUUUAUGCCUUAUGCAUUUAAGCUAUUUUUUUCUGAAUGUACAAACCUUGCACUUCCUUCAUCAAUAUCACCAGGGCUCUUCUAUUAGAUCUGAUCUUAUUAGAUCAAAAUUUAAAUAUAGGAUAGAAAACCUAGUAUUUCUAGCAAGCUCUAGAAAUGCCGAUCAUCCCAUAUGAACAUUAAUGAUUGAUACUAUUUUUUUGGCCAUGCCUGUGGUGUGUGGAAGUUCCCUGGUCAGGGAUCAAAGCUACAGCAGCGACCAGAGCUAUGGCAAUGACAACACUGGAUCCUUAACCCACUCUGCCACAAGGGAACUCCCAAUGAUUGAGACUAUUGCUUUAAGAAAAUAUUUUGCAAAUAUAAAUGAUUAAGGAAAGGGCUGGAAGAAUAAGAAAUAGAGUGGCCAAACUACUCCUGAAGAAAGAGUUUUAACUAAAGAAACACCCCCCCCCGCCCCCAUCACUGAGGAGGCAGCUACAUGCCUGACAGCAGCUUUGCUCGCCCCAUACCACCCUUCUUGUAAUGUUAUAGCAACUAUGUACCUUAUGUCCUUGCUAGCAGCCCUGCUAACCCUGCUCCAAGCAUUGUUUAUCAGUUUCACUUUUGUAAUCUUAUUUGCUCAGCUUCUUAGGCAGGAACUCUGCCUCUCGGGAAGGGGGAGGGCUGGGUCUGCUUGCAUAGGAAAACCUUGAGACCAGGAAGUCUGCGUUGUAUAAAAGCUAUCCAGAACAAAGACCUCGUGCUCAGACUCUGGAGGCAGCUCCUCUGAGCCCGCACUGGUGCCAAAUAAACCUGGCUAUUCCACAUCUCUGAGUACCGCUUAUCUCUUUCUGCUGCCACGGUUUCUGCAACACUCCCAGUAAUUCAUGUUGAUGGAUUGAACUAAGCGAAUUUCCAAGAUUGUAAAUUGCAGACUGUGGAGAUGACAGGAGCAGGAGUCCUUCUGUGGAGGUUGGGGUAGGAGCUAAUUAAAUAGAGGGGAGAUAGAGAAUGGGACCCUAGGAAGUCAUUCCUCCUUUCUGUGCUUGUAAAGAUAGGCUUGGGCAGAACAAAAGAGAAAAAGGUAAAAAGGGAAGAGAGCAAGACAGUUUGUGGUGUCUCACAGGGAGGAAAAACAGAUUUCAGUUUACCUAAAAAACCAAAGCCUUUCCUUGCUUUCCUUCCAGAUCACUCUCCUCCCACCCGCUGCCUCCCUGAGGGCUGUAACCUCGCCUGUUUUUUCCUUGUUGUUGCCUCCCAGCAGAAAUCUGUGAGUGUACUGGUCGCAUCAUCUGCAGGGAAGGACAUGGCUUACGCUUUGAGUAACUACUCUUCCUUGCAUGUAGUUGAACCUGGGAAGGGAAUGGUGCCAUAUGGAGGAGACUGUGCCCCUCUUGUCACCUAUAUGCUAGGGGAUCUGUAUUGAAUGUAGGGUACUGCAUUAUCUUGAUCUCAGGAGACAAAGAUACUCCUUAAACUGGAGUUAGCCUUACCUUAAAGGAUGAGAUCAUUUCUUUGACCAGCAAUCUCUUUCUUAUCAAAUGUCCUCUCUCUGGUCCACAACAGAAUAGGAAGCCCAUAGGGAACCUUCUGGUUUUAACUUGGGCUUUUGACGUUGCCUUUGAAGAAUAUCCUGGAGCUUGAUCCAGAACAGCCAAAUAUAAGAUGACAAUUCCCAUAAGGGGACCAGCCAGGAGCUGGGAGAGCAGGAACUUUGGCAAGGAGUCUGUGAUAUUAUUCCAGGCAGAGAGAGAAAACAAUACACUAAUUUUUUUUUUUUUCGAUCAAAGCAAACUGGAAAAUUUGGAACUGCACUGUUCUAAUUUGGAGUUCUUAGAAAAUAAUGGGCCUGGGAGUAUAGUCUGGGUGGCUUAAUUUGUUUCCAGCAAUACCUCUAAGGAAUGUUUCACACUGGUGGUUUAGUUUCUCUGCCCUGUGGCCCCAGCUACCUUUUUUUGUUUUCAUGCCUUUUGAUUCUCUUAUGUGUAACUGUUGUUUUUUGUUUUGUUUUGUUUUGUUUUGUUUUUUAAGGUGUAUGCAUCACUUAAAAAAAAAAAAACCUUAAUUUUUUUUUUUUUUUUUCUUUUUAGGGCCACACCCACGGCAUAUGGAAGUUCCCAGACUAGGGGUUGAAUCAGCACUGCAGCUGCCAGUCUAAGGUACAGCCACAGCCACAUGCUGGAUCUGAGCCUCAUCUUCGACCUAGGCCACAGCUCAUGGCAACGCCAGAUCCUUAACGCAGUGAGCAAGGCCAGGGAUCUAACCUGCAUCCUCAUGGAUACCAGUUGGGUUCGUUACUGCUGAGCCACAACGGUAACUCCCAAAUUAUUUUUUUUAUUAUGCCAAGAAAACAACAUGAGAUCUACCUUUCUGACAAGUUUUUGAGUGCACACUACUGUUAGCUAUGGGCAUGAAGUUGUACAGCAGAUCUCUAGAACCUUUUUUUGUGUUUGUGUAACUGAAACUUUGUACCAUUGAACAGCAGUUCCCCAUUUCUUCCUCCUCCAAGACCUGGCAACUACCAUUCUAUUCUGUUUCUAUGAAUUUACUAUUUUAGAUACCUCAUAUAAGUGGAAUCAUUCAGUAUUUCUCCAUCUGUGUCAGGGUGAUUGCAUUUAGCAUAAUUUCCUCCGGGUUCACCCAUGUUGUCACAUAUACCAGGAUUUCCUUCUUAUUUAAGGCUGAAUAAUAUUCCAUUGUAUGUAUAAACCACAUUUUCUUUAUCCAUUCAUCUAUCGUGGACAUUUAAAUUGUUUCUAUAUCUUGUCUGUUGUGACUAAUGCUGCAAUAAACAUGAGAGAACAGAUAGCUCUUUGAGAUCC